GUUAACACAUGGCUGCCAGGUUGGAUUGUGCUAAUUUUAUUUGUGCAGUUCAGUCUUCAGUGAUGUAGGGAGGAGUACGAAACAAUACUGAGACCAUAUGUUCCGAUUAACACAACUGAAUUCAAAGCAAUGCUUUUCCCUGCUCAGCUGGAAAACAAGCCCACAGUUUUCAGUGCUGCCAUAUAAGUGUUCAGAAGUAAGAUGACAAAGAAACAUAGAAAGAUCCCUUAAUUCACAUCAAAUAAGAACAGAAAACAUUACUUCCCUCCUCCUAUAAACUACUACAAAACUGGAUUAAGAUGAAUGGGAAGUAUCCAGCCUAUUUGCCGCAGGACAAAUCACAACUGUCAGACAGAAGGCAAAGACAGGAUAAUAAAGCAAAGAGGUAACUCCUUCCA
rnacentral:lncRNA from 1 species